rnacentral:lncRNA from 1 species
CUGAUGAGAGCACAAAAGUGCAAUCGUCAUACCAUUUUAAUUAGUAUUAUAGUUAAUCUUUAAUGAUAAAAUUAAUUAAUUAACGUUGUAUUUGUGUUUGAGUGCAAGGAAUCCAAGAGACCCAAUAACAUUGGGUUUGAGCCCAAUGCCCGGCAGCCCGAGCUCAACAAAUUCCCCAGCUGCCAUGCAUGCAUGAAAUCCCGGCCGUCCACGCCAUCAACGCAAUCAAACCAAGCAUCCCACUUCCCAAACCUGUUUCAUCAGGUUCAUCUCCAUAC